GACAGAGGUGCCGAGCGUUAGGCGGAAUCACUGGGCUUAAAAGCGUGUGUAGGCGGAUUUUGUAAGUACCUUGUGAAAAUCCCCACGGCUCAACCGUGGAAACUGCUUUGGUAUACUGCUUAUCUUUGAGCCACUUAGGGGCAGUCGGAACAGACGGUGGGAGCGGUGAAAAUGCGUAGAUAUCGUCUGGAACGCCAAAAGGUGAAAAACAGACUGCUGGGGAGUGUGCUGACGCUGAGACACGAAAAGCCCAGGGGGAGCAAAACGGGG
rnacentral:rRNA from 1 species